AGUGAACGCUGGCGGUAGGCCUAACACAUGCAAGUCGAACGGCAGCACAGUAAGAGCUUGCUCUUACGGGUGGCGAGUGGCGGACGGGUGAGGAAUACAUCGGAAUCUACUUUUUCGUGGGGGAUAACGUAGGGAAACUUACGCUACUACCGCAUACGACCUACGGGUGAAAGCAGGGGAGCUUCGGACCUUGCGCGAUUGAAUGAGCCGAUGUCGGAUUAGCUAGUUGGCGGGGUAAAGGCCCACCAAGGCGACGAUCCGUAGCUGGUCUGAGAGGAUGAUCGGCCACACUGGAACUGAGACACGGUCCAGACUCCUACGGGAGGCAGCAGUGGGGAAUAUUGGACAAUGGGCGCAAGCCUGAUCCAGCCAUACCGCGUGGGUGAGGAAGGCCUUCGGGUUGUAAAGCCCUUUUGUUGGGAAAGAAAAGCAGCAGGUUAAUACCCCGCUGUUCUGACGGUACCCAAAGAAUAAGCACCGGCUAACUACGUG
rnacentral:rRNA from 1 species